AAACUCUUCUUACCCCCUAAUUGAGUCUGGGCUGGAGCAGAAGGACUGGAAAGUUCAGAGCACUUCAGUCCUGCCUUGGCUGUCUGCUUAGGCAAGUCACCAUCUCUCUCUGAUCUCAGUCUCCUUCCCAGUACACUGGGGUGACGAUACCUACUUCAGAGAGAUACUGUGAGAAUUCACGAAACAACAAUGUGUGAAGAUUCCACUUGGAAACUGGCCUGUGGAGCUUCCGGACAAGAAGACAGAUGACCAGCAAGAUACGGGAGUGAUGGACGGAGAGUUACAGUAACACAUUCAGGGAAGAAACCCACAGCAGGGAGUUAUAAUCAUCAGUUAAGCAUCUGUCAAAUACAUCAGGUCUGGGUGAGCCAGGAAGUGGAACCAGAGCCCAGAUGCUCAGCUUUUGUGAUAUGGUGGCAAAAGCCAGCCUGAGAAUGAAAUGCUUUCAGCAAAAGUACCCCCCAGAAUGUGACAUCUAUCACGAAAUCGCUGCCUGUGUGGUAACGUGACAAGACAGACUUUCUGACCAGUCUGGGAAUUCGGAAGACUUGGGGGCGGACCAGGGCAGGAGACGCUCUCGGCCUAUUUAAGGAAAGCUUGUUUUAC